CCUCUGAGAAAGAGAAAAAGGAAGAAAAAGUGAGGUGCCGAGUAAUCAAGGUCAUGGAAGAGCAUAACAGGAUGGAAGGGACACAUUUACCCAAGAAGAAGGGUUAGUUUUUCAAAAAAACUAUACACAAGGAAACUCAAACAAGGCAGAAGUAAUGAUAUCCCACAAAUAAAUGAAUAAUGGAUUAUCAGUUGUUACCCAGUGUAGUGAACAUCAUAGUUUCAGGACUUGUUCAUUUAAAGAAAAGGUUGACUGCAAACGAGUCUUCAGUACAAAGUAAGGUCUCUCCUCUUUUAGUGCUCAGAAAAUGUAAUUAUAUAACAUACCUUCUAACUGCUUCGGAGCAACGUCAAAUUGCAUCCACCAGGGAUUCCCUUUUUCGGCAGGCAAUUUCACCUUCAGAAGUUUAGCAGCAAGGAACAUGGAACCAGCAGCGACAUAAUGGGGCUUAUACUGCAAGCACAGUGUUGUGCGAAUCCUACCAACCACAUCAUUAUUAAUUUCUGGCGUUUCAAAAUUGGAAGUAAACAAUAAGUGCAUAACAUUCUACAAAUUAAGAACCAUCACCAUUGCAUGAAAAGAUACUAACCAAUCAUUCACAAAAUUCCAGGCUACUUUGACCAUCUCAUUGUUAGAAAUUUCCAACCUCUUCAUAGCACCAACAAGUGCCUUGUAAGGAUGUUCGAUGUUAAGAUCAAAAGCAACUGUCACAAGCAGCAUUCUCUCACCAGCUACAACAGAUUCCUUUUCCUUAUCAUAAAUAUCCUUAUGAUAUGAAGCAAAGACGUUAGGGGAAAAAGUAUAGAAGCUAGCAGGAAAUAACAAAACUGAAUAUUUGAUAACACACCUUCUGCCUGAUCCUCAGUGGAGCUGAUGGAUCCCAUUUAUAUACAAGCUUGUAGGAAACAACAACAAGAUCACUCAGCCAGCGUGGUGUUUCUUCAGCUUUGCCGGCAAGGAACAUGCUCACAGUUGCGACAAUCUGCACAGAGUGCAGUGCCACACCAAAGAGUGCAUGAUGAAUCAAAAGACAGGGACAUACUUAAUGCAAUGCUUUAAGCCUCAUCUGGCUUAAAAUUAUAUCUGAACCAAUUUCAGUUAGUUUGUUUAUCUACUACUUUCUUGAUCAAAAAUAAAUAAAUCCAGUUAGUCACAAAGGUUAACUCCAGAAAUUACUAUGGGAACAAUUGUACAUUAGCUAUAUAUUUUACUUCUCGUUAGAGUUAAGCAUAACUACACAAUGUUAUAUCCUGUCAAGCAGCUCAAUUCCCAGUUUGACAGUACAAAUAUUUUAACAGUCUGCAAGACAUUAACCAUACUUAAAAGAAAUG